AUUGAACGCUGGCGGCAUGCUUUACACAUGCAAGUCGAACGGUAACAGGCCGCAAGGUGCUGACGAGUGGCGAACGGGUGAGUAAUGCAUUGGAACGUGCCCAGUCGUGGGGGAUAACGCAGCGAAAGCUGCGCUAAUACCGCAUACGAUCUAUGGAUGAAAGCGGGGGACCGUAAGGCCUCGCGCGAUUGGAGCGGCCGAUGUCAGAUUAGGUAGUUGGUGGGGUAAAGGCUCACCAAGCCGACGAUCUGUAGCUGGUCUGAGAGGACGACCAGCCACACUGGGACUGAGACACGGCCCAGACUCCUACGGGAGGCAGCAGUGGGGAAUUUUGGACAAUGGGCGCAAGCCUGAUCCAGCAAUGCCGCGUGCAGGAAGAAGGCCUUCGGGUUGUAAACUGCUUUUGUACGGAACGAAAAGGCUCUGGUUAAUACCCGGGGCUCAUGACGGUACCGUAAGAAUAAGCACCGGCUAACUACGUGCCAGCAGCCGCAGUAAAAC
rnacentral:rRNA from 1 species